rnacentral:rRNA from 1 species
CAGCAGCCGCGGUAAUACCGGCGGCCCGAGUGGCGGUCACUAUUAUUGGGCUUAAAGCGUCCGUAGCCGGGUUGGGAAGUCCUCCGGGAAAUCUGGCCGCUUAACGGUCAGAAUGCCGGAGGAUACUCCCAGCCUAGGGAGCGGGAGAGGCCGAGGGUAUUCCCGGAGUAGGGGGGAAAUCCUAUAAUCCCGGGAGGACCACCGGUGGCGGAGGCGCUCGGCUGGAACGCGUCCGACGGUGAGGGACGAAGGCCAGGGGAGCAAACCGGAUUAGAUACCCGGGUAGUCCUGGCUGUAAACGAUGCGGACUUUGUGUCGGACAAGCUAUGAGCUUGUCCGGUGCCGGAGGGAAACCGUUAAGUCCGCCGCCUGGGGAGUACGGCCGCAAGGCUGAAACUUAAAGGAAUUGGCGGG